rnacentral:rRNA from 2 species
ACAACUUUCAACAACGGAUCUCUUGGCUCUCGCAUCGAUGAAGAACGCAGCGAAAUGCGAUAAGUAAUGUGAAUUGCAGAAUUCAGUGAAUCAUCGAAUCUUUGAACGCACCUUGCACUCCUUGGCAUUCCAAGGAGCAUGCCUGUUUGAGUGUCAUUAAA